GACAGAGGGUGCUAGCGUUGUUCGGAAUGACUGGGCGUAAAGGGCGCGUAGGCGGGAAUAUUAGUCAAGCGUGAAAGCCCCAGGCUUAACCUGGGAACAGCGCAUGAAACGGUAUACCUAGAGGACGAGAGAGGGAAGCGGAAUUCCUAGUGUAGAGGUGAAAUUCGUAGAUAUUAGGAGGAACACCAGGGGCGAAGGCGGCUUUCUGGCUCGUAACUGACGCUGAGGCGCGAAAGCGUGGGGAGCAAACAGG
rnacentral:rRNA from 1 species